rnacentral:snoRNA from 1 species
UUCGGUGAUGAACAAUCUUUGCUUCGGCAAAGCUGGAAUUACUGGCUUAGACUUAUGUCGAUGCCGAGAAAACUAGGCUGUUAUCUGAUC